CACAGAUCACAACCCGUUGGUGUGGCUGAACCGUGUGGCUGGAGACAAUGCCAGGCUGCUGCGCUGGAGUUUAGCGCUGCAGCCUUUUGACUUUACUAUCCAUUAUCGCCCAGGGAAACAAAACGGUAACGCCGACGGGUUAUCUAGACAAACAGACCUUGAGAAGUGAUCUGUGAGCCCUCCUCCGGACAUCCCCAAGCCGAUCCGUUGGGAUCAGACUGUGUAUGCCGGCUUGGUUCUGGGGGAGCAUUGUGGCAAACCUAGCCACUUGGACUAUAUCAAGAGACUGUACCUUUAAGGGUUGCCUGUAUGUCGGUGGGGAUAUGUGUUCAACUAUGUACAAUGUAUGCUGGCUGUAAUACCUUGAAUUGCCUGUGUUUGCUAUCCGCCAAAUGCAGAUAGCUAUUUGUAUUGGGUUUUCCUUUCGUUUCACGAACGGCACUUUGGCGGGCCGUUCGUGAACCGAAAACACUACAUAUAAUAGCCCACACACUUAGAGGCGUGUGGCGCUUGUUAACCG